GGGGUCUUGUUUUGCCGCCCAGGCUGGGGUGCAGUAGCGUGAUGAUGGCUCACUGCAGCCUGGGACUCCUGGGCUGAAAUGAUCCUCCCACCUCAGCCUCCCAAGCAGGUGGGACCACAGGCACGUACCACCACAUCCAGCUAAUCUUUUAUUUAUUUUUUGGAGUGACGACAUCACACUGUGUUGCCCAGGCUGGUCUGCAAUUCCUGGCCUCAAGUGAUCCUCCUGCCUUGGCUUCCCAACAUGCUGGAAUUACAGGCGUGACCCACUGCAUCCAGCAUCACCUCGCUUCUCUAUGUUAACCUGUGGCAGUCUGAUACCCGCUCCCAGGCCGCCCCCAGUUCUUUUGCAGGCCCCCUCCUUUUCGAAGAUCUUUCUUUCCAUGCUUUUGCCUGACUUCAUGGCUCCUCGCUCCCCGCAUCACGCCGUGGUGGUGCCUGGAUGCGUGACGAUGUACUGACCACAUUCUGCGGCAAUCACUGUUCGUGAAGCUGCCUCCCCUCCUAGACUGAAAACUCUUCGAAGAUGGGACCAUAUGGUUUCUAUCACCAAAACCAACA
rnacentral:lncRNA from 1 species